UACGGAGGGAGCGAGCGUUGAUCGGAAUAACUGGGCGUAAAGGGCGCGCAGGCGGGCUUGUAAGUGAGAUGUGAAAUCCCCGGGCUUAACCUGGGAAUAGCAUUUCAGACUGCGAGUCUAGAGUACUUUAGAGAGGGGUAGAAUUCCACGUGUAGCGGUGAAAUGCGUAGAGAUGUGGAGGAAUACCGAUGGCGAAGGCAGCCCCCUGGGCAUGUACUGACGCUCAUGUGCGAAAGCGUGGGGAGCAAACAGG
rnacentral:rRNA from 1 species